rnacentral:rRNA from 1 species
UACAGAGGGGGCGAGCGUUGUUCGGAAUUACUGGGCGUAAAGGGCGCGUAGGCGGCUCGCUAAGUCGAACGUGAAAUCCCCGGGCUCAACCCGGGAACUGCGUCCGAUACUGGCAGGCUUGAAUCCGGGAGAGGGAUGUGGAAUUCCAGGUGUAGCGGUGAAAUGCGUAGAUAUCUGGAGGAACACCGGUGGCGAAGGCGGCAUCCUGGACCGGUAUUGACGCUGAGGCGCGAAAGCCAGGGGAGCAAACGGG